AUGCCCUCCUUGUGAUUCAGUGGAACAUCCGAGCUUUCAUGGGCGUGAAGAACUGGCCGUGGAUGAAGCUGUAUUUCAAGAUCAAGCCACUGCUAAAGAGUGCAGAGACUGAGAAGGAAAUGCAGGCAAUGGAGGAGGAAUUU